rnacentral:rRNA from 1 species
UACAGAGGUCUCAAGCGUUGUUCGGAUUCAUUGGGCGUUAAAGGGUGCGUAGGCGGCGCGGUAAGUCGGGUGUGAAAUCUUGGAGCUUAACUCCGAAACUGCAUUCGAUACUGCCGUGCUUGAGGACUGGAGAGGAGACUGGAAUUUACGGUGUAGCGGUGAAAUGCGUAGAUAUCGUAAGGAAGACCAGUGGCGAAGGCGG